AGUGAACGCUGGCGGUAGGCCUAACACAUGCAAGUCGAACGGCAGCACAGUAAGAGCUUGCUCUUACGGGUGGCGAGUGGCGGACGGGUGAGGAAUACAUCGGAAUCUACUUUUUCGUGGGGGAUAACGUAGGGAAACUUACGCUAAUACCGCAUACGACCUACGGGUGAGGGCAGGGGAUCUUCGGACCUUGCGCGAUUGAAUGAGCCGAUGUCGGAUUAGCUAGUUGGCGGGGUAAAGGCCCACCAAGGCGACGAUCCGUAGCUGGUCUGAGAGGAUGAUCAGCCACACUGGAACUGAGACACGGUCCAGACUCCUACGGGAGGCAGCAGUGGGGAAUAUUGGACAAUGGGCGCAAGCCUGAUCCAGCCAUACCGCGUGGGUGAAGAAGGCCUUCGGGUUGUAAAGCCCUUUUGUUGGGAAAGAAAAGCAGCAGGUUAAUACCCCGCUGUUCUGACGGUACCCAAAGAAUAAGCACCGGCUAACUUCGUG
rnacentral:rRNA from 1 species